rnacentral:rRNA from 1 species
UGGGGAAUAUUGCACAAUGGGCGAAAGCCUGAUGCAGCAACGCCGCGUGAGCGAAGAAGGUCUUCGGAUCGUAAAGCUCUGUCCUUGGGGAAGAUAAUGACGGUACCCUUGGAGGAAGCCCCGGCUAACUACGUGCCAGCAGCCGCGGUAAUACGUAGGGGGCGAGCGUUGUCCGGAAUUACUGGGCGUAAAGGGUGCGUAGGCGGUUUGGUAAGUUGGAUGUGAAAUACCCGGGCUUAACUUGGGGGCUGCAUCCAAUACUGUCAGACUUGAGUGCAGGAGAGGAAAGCGGAAUUCCUAGUGUAGCGGUGAAAUGCGUAGAUAUUAGGAGGAACACCGGUGGCGAAGGCGGCUUUCUGGACUGUAACUGACGCUGAGGC